GAAAUCCGACCGUUACUAUGCAAGGGCGGAUCUCAUUAUUAUAAAUCAAGACUAUAUAUAUUAGUUUUUGAAUCAUCAACGAAAAGAAAGAGGAGCUAAAUCCUAUUUUUUUAUUUUCUUUUUGUCUUUCUCUAAAUUUUUUUUAAGAGAUUUAAGUUGAGUAAGUAGAGAAAAUUCUUCUUUUUUCCUGAUCAGACCAUACUAUAAAUAUAUUAAAACAUCACUUUGUAAGUUUAAUUAAUGUUGUUAUUCAACACAUAAAAGAGAAAUACUUAGAUUGAUAGGUGCUCUCCUAGGUUUAAAAAUUUAGAUUUUCACAACUAAUCCAACAAAAAGGAAUUUUACCCUAUAUUUUUCGGUAUAAGUCCUAUUGGCCGUCUCACAAUCUCCAUUACCACACCAACUCACUUUAUAUGAGCCUAACUCCCUACCAUCCGAUCU
rnacentral:lncRNA from 1 species